rnacentral:lncRNA from 1 species
UGCAACUCUUAAUCUCGCUACUUCCCCCUCCUCUCUUCUCUCUUCUCCCUCUCUCUCCUCUUUUCUCUACCGCUGUCUCUGAGCCUUCUUCUUCCCUUUUUCCUAAAGAAGUUGAUCCAGAAAUUCGAAAAGCCCUGGGCAGAGUUGUUGAAUGGGAUGUGCAAUUAGAGCGGGGAUUUUGUUGGGAGGCAAGAGGGUCCCCCAGGCUCCACAUAGUCCAGGUCGGCAGGCAAGGAAAGACGGCUGACCAGCCCAGCGGGCGAGGUUUGCACAUGGUGUGCACGUCGGGCCGCCUCUUUCUGCCUAUAAUUCAGCUGCCUCUCUGAGGAGUGGUGGAGGAGCUGCGAGAGCCAAGAAGCCCAAGAGCCCUCUGGACCCAGAAAAGUCCCACAGAUGCCCACUCCUCACCACACAACAGAAGGAGCUCUGGUCCUGCCUGCCAGCCCCAGAGGGCACUCAAACUUUGGAGGCCAGCCACCCGGAUGAAGUGAAUAAGGCCUGAAAAUUGCUUGUUUGCUCGUAUUGUAAAAUAAUAAUAAUUACCAUUAUUAUUUUUA